rnacentral:rRNA from 1 species
UACAGAGGUCCCAAGCGUUGUUCGGAUUCACUGGGCGUAAAGGGUGCGUAGGUGGCCAGGUAAGUUCGGUGUGAAAGCUCGGAGCUUAACUCCGAAAUGUCAUUGAAUACUAUCUGGCUAGAGGGUCGGAGGGGAGACUGGAAUUCUCGGUGUAGCAGUGAAAUGCGUAGAUAUCGAGAGGAACACCAGUGGCGAAGGCGGGUCUCUGGGCCGAUACUGACGCUGAGGAGCGAAAGCGUGGGGAGCGAACAGG